rnacentral:lncRNA from 1 species
AGCGCCAUUCUACAAGAUAUAGAAGAGAAACAAGAAAAUUUAUUAAAGCUUGAAAUAAGAAACUCUGAAGAUGAAGAACAAUACAUUGGAAAGAUGUUAGAGAUAAAAGAAGUUAUGGAUAAUAUACUUGCUCAACAGAAAACAGAAAGGGAUGAUCUAGCUAAAAAAUACAGGGUGUCCAUGGAGUCAUUUAAGCAUGGGGCCUUGAGAGAACAACUGGCUAACCUGGCCACGAGACAAAAGAGUCUUUUAGUUGUAGCAAAGAAACAGAAAAAGAUAAGACUGAAAAUUCAAAACUAUAAGAAUGCUACAGCAGUAUCUGGUGUUGGUUUAAGAAAGCUGCCAUGUAACUCAGACAUCAGUAGUGACAAGAAGAGCCAGGAGCCUCCUACUAUGGGAGACUCAGCACAUGCC